rnacentral:lncRNA from 1 species
UUCCAUAAGAUGCUAAAUAAUGAUAUAGCUUGCGAUGAAUAUACAUUUUCAGCUACUCUGAAGGCCUGCUCGUUACUACCAUCUCUUGCGAUCUGCAGGCAGGUGCAUUCUCGGGUAGUUAAGGGGAAGUUUGGGACAAACCUGCACGUGGCAAGCUCAUUAAUAGAAACAUAUGCACAAUGUGGCAAUUCAGAAGACGCUGAAAAGGCUUUCUAUCUAACAUCUACACCAGAUGUUGUGACAUUUAAUGCAAUGAUUGGAGCUUAUUCACAGUAUGGUUAUCCAACGAAGGCUAAAUUCUUGUUUGAAAAGAUGGUGGAGAAAAGGAUAUUACCGACUAGUUUCACUUUCCUAGCUGUUAUUUCUGCUUGUAGCCAUUGUGGUUCCGUUCAACAAGGGAGAGAGUUCUUUGAGUCUAUGACAAGAAAUUACGGAAUUCUACCUGAAGAGAAACACUAUAGCUGCAUGGUUGACCUGCUGAGUAGAUCAGGGCAGUUAGAGAAUGCUCUCGAAUUCAUAAACAAGUUGCCAAAUG